CCCUUAGAUGUUCUGGGCUGCAUACGCGCUACACUGAAGCUAUCAACACGUUUUCCCUCCCUGAGAAGGGCGGGUAACCUUUUGAAUCAGCUUCGUGGUAGGGAUCGGGGCUUGCAAUUGUUCCCCGUGAACCAGGAAUUCCUAGUAGACGCGAGUCAUAAGCUCGCAUCGAUUAAGUCCCUGCCCUUUGUACACACCGCCCGUCGCUACUACCGAUUGAGUGAUCCGGUGAAUAAUUCGGACUGCGGCAUUGACCGGUUCCCGAUCGUUGCUGCGGAAAGUUUAGUGAACCUUAUCACUUAGAGGAAGGAGAAGUCGUAACA
rnacentral:rRNA from 1 species